AUUGAACGCUGGCGGCAUGCUUUACACAUGCAAGUCGAACGGCAGCGCGGGCUUCGGCCUGGCGGCGAGUGGCGAACGGGUGAGUAAUGCAUCGGAACGUGCCCAGUAGUGGGGGAUAGCCCGGCGAAAGCCGGAUUAAUACCGCAUACGACCUGAGGGUGAAAGCGGGGGACCGAAAGGCCUCGCGCUAUUGGAGCGGCCGAUGUCGGAUUAGCUAGUUGGUGGGGUAAAGGCUUACCAAGGCGACGAUCCGUAGCUGUGCUGAGAGGACGACCAGCCACACUGGGACUGAGACACGGCCCAGACUCCUACGGGAGGCAGCAGUGGGGAAUUUUGGACAAUGGGGGCAACCCUGAUCCAGCCAUGCCGCGUGCGGGAAGAAGGCCUUCGGGUUGUAAACCGCUUUUGUUCGGGAAGAAAUCCUCUGGGCUAAUACCCCGGGGGGAUGACGGUACCGGAAGAAUAAGCACCGGCUAACUACGUG
rnacentral:rRNA from 1 species